rnacentral:lncRNA from 1 species
GAACUCAGGUCUUUCCCUUCUUCUAAAAUCAACACUCCUAAUGAAUUUGUCUGAGUCUAUUAUUAGACUAUCCUUAAGAUACGGUGUAAAACAGAAACAGUUUGCUUCAUGGCCAUACAAACAACUUAAAAUGGAAAGUUAGGAAAGCUUACUCUUACCAAUGCCCUACAGCUCCUGCAACACUGUGGCAUGUCCAUCAUUUUUACCACAGAUGCCUUUACAAACUCCUUUUUUUUUAUUCUGCUGCUUCUGACCACACCUGUGGCAUAUGGAGGUUCCCAGGUUAGGGUCAAAUGGGAACCAUAGCCAUUUGCACAGCCACAGCCACAGCCACAGCCAUGCAGGAUCUGAGCCCCAUUUGCAACCUAUACCACAGCUCACAGUAAUGCCAGAUCUUACCCACUGAGUGAAGCCAGGGAUUGAACCUGCAUCCUCAUGGAUACUAGUUAGAUCCAUUACCUCUGAGCCAUGAUGGGAACACUCCCCUGGGGUCUUUUAUGGCCACUCUUUCCUCUCUUCUCACUUCUGGUCUCUCCUCAUCUAAUUGAAGUUAGCUUUCCCACACAAAGCAUCUGGUACUGCUCUCUGAAGCUGGGGUACCAGUCAGUCACACCAGAGCUUAUCAAGGUGUUUUUUUUUUUUUUUUUUCCUAUAAAACACACUUCCCUUUUUUCACAGAAAUUCUGGUUGUCAGAAUAAAAAAUUAUUUCCCUUCUUUAUCUCAUUUUAAUGGCUGACAGCGGCAGUUCAGCUGGUUAAAUGACAUGUGUAAGAUCACAAGACUGCUGAGGAAGAUGAGCCAAUGCUCAAAAGCCACCUUUGUGAAUAACACAGAGAAGCCUAUUGUGAGUGCUCCAAUGAAGGGGGAAUCAGGCCAGGUGCACCCCACAGUUGACGACUGAGCUGCCCGUGAGGCCCCAUGAGUCCCCCAAGUUUUCCAGAUGAGGAGCCUGAGACUCAAAAACUGUGAGAAACUUUUUCAAGGUCAAACAAAUACUUGAUGUAUUUAUGUUUCUGGGAAAUAAAGGCAAAGAAGAAGGAAGGACAGGAUAAAUAUUUGCAAGGGAGAGUCUAUUGCAGAGAACAUUUGGUGACUGAAGGGCCCUGGGGACUCCAUUUUAGUGUGAUCAUUUGCUCUGAGAGGAAGCAGAUCCCUGUCUGCAUUUUGAUAUUUUCUAGUUUGUAAAGUGGAUGCAUUUUUCUCCUCCAGGGGCCCUGUUCUUCAGGUUUUCUUGGUAUAGGGAUGUCUGGUUAUUUUUGGCUUGUGAAUACCAGUAACACAGAGGGCAUCCUCCCCCUUGACCAGCUGUGCUCUCAUUUCCUCUAAAAGGCUGGCAGUGUGAGGACAGUUUUGGACUUGCCUGUCAGAGAAAGGAUUUUUGUCAUCAAUCUUCCUCUGCCUGUGGAGAAGGGUGGUGCGAGAAACUGCUGUCUGCAAAAAUUGCUUUUAAGGUGGGGAAAGAUUGUUUACAUGUUCCCUUUCUUAGAGACUGGCACUCACAGAGGUCUGUGAUAGGCAUGGGUUAGACUGAGAUGUGGACUAGGAAUAGCCUGUCACAGCACCUUGCAGGAACUUCAGGCAGACCUUUCUCCUGCCCCCCUAACCCCAGGCCAUACUUCUGGCCCCAGCAGUUUCUUAGCAUCCUUCUUUUCAUCUAAGCCAAGGUCAUGAGGUGAAUCUUGUUCCCCACUUUGGUACUUUCCUGGCACAGCUAAAUAUGGCACAGUCUUCAAGACUUCCAUUUCCACGCCAUACCCAGAGACCAGCUGCCAGGUCUUUUUAAGAGGUACCAAUUUUAGCGAUAAGACCAUAGCCUGUGGGUUCCCAUCCCAGCUCUAUCUUUUCCUACUCAUGUGACCUUGGGCACGUUCUUCCAACUCCGUGUGUCUAAGUUUCCUUGUGCAUCAAGUGGGGCUGGGGAUGGUCGCAUCUUCCUCCUAGGGGCCACAGGAAGAUUAAAGUAGUUAAUAUUGAUAAAGUACUUAUAAGAGUGCAUGGUAUUUAUCAAGUAUUAUGUAAGUGUUUCUUAGGCUAAAAAAUGUAACAUUUAAUUGCUGAGGAUGAGUAGAGGUAGGUAUCAAAACUGAGCACUUUGCCCAGCUGGGGGUCUGGGUUGUGUUCUUGUUGGCUCUCCCUAGCACUUCCGUUCUGUAAUCUACCCUGUUUUAUUGAAAGAUCUCUGUUUCUGACUAACUGCAGGCUCUCUGAGUGCAGAGUUCUGUUUAUCCUAUUUAUUACUUCACCCUCACUGCCUGCAACUACAUAAUUAGUUUCAGUCUUACUGUUUCAGUGUCCUAUCUACAAGGCAGAUUCACUUUGGGAAAAGGAAAUGAAAGACGGAUGGAAAGUCUGACCCCUGAGUUUUGUUUUAAAUUUGGGACCUCUUCUAAUAGAAAAGCCGGGGUGCAUCUUCUAGGCAGAACCGCCGUCCCCGUCAUGAGCGAUACAGCCAUCCAGUAAGAAAAACAGAAGACACGAGACCCUCCAGACAGGUCCUGUGUCCAUGUCCAGAGGAUAGCUCCUGCUGGGGACCAUCAUCCCCAUCAGCCUUUCCUUCUGUUACCUGUAGUGAUUUCAAAGGAGGAUGGAUCAAGGCUGUUCAAAAACCUUCCACAACUUGUCCAGGGACCACUGAGGUGGAACUGAAGACUUUGGAAAAGGUCCAGUUUAUUUUGAGGAAACUUGAGUCUAAGAGAUCUGGAGCUGCCUAGAGCUGCCUAAUUUCCCUGGGGAAAGUUCUGGCAUGUGUUAGACCACUGGUAAGACCAAAUGCCUAGGGCGGUUUGGCAUGGCCAAGAAGAAAUGUGCUCAACGGGAGAGAAACGCGUUGCCAGAACUAUCCACACUGGGAAAGUUAUACUAGAAAUUUACAGUAAAUGACUUUGUAUAUAACUGCUCAUAUUGUAAAUACAGAAAGGGAAGCUUCACAAAGGGAAGUGUGAAACGUAAUUGUCAUUAACAGUAAUAAGGAAUAAUAACUUUAAAAGACCAAGUGCAGAACCUCACAGAUUACAUGCAGAAUUUUGCACUUAGAGAUACUUGAGGGAUAUGUGUUUGUGUGUGUAUGUGUGCAUGUGUGUGUCUGUAUUAGCCAUGCAUAUAUGUGUGUGUGUGUGUGUGUGUAUUUGCAUUUCCAUGUACAGAAAAGUAUGUUUUAUAGGAAAAGUGUCACCUCAAACAAAGGCUAAUCAUUGAUUUCAGUGAUGGAUGGACUCCUUUCAGGCUCCUCUUACCCAUUUGUCCCAGACUAGAGAAACUCGUGGCACUCACCAUGCUUUGAUUCCAGAACAUUCCAUAAGUACUGCAGAAAGAGCAUAGACUUUGCAGUCAGGCUGACUUGAACUCACAUUCUAGCUAUUCCAUUUACCAGAUGUGUGAUCUGAGACCAGUUAACAUCUAUCAAUUGCAGGUUUUUAGCUACAGUAACUAGGGUAUAAUUAAAAGAUCAAGCUCUCAGGGUAGCUGGAAGAACCAAAUGAGAAAAGAUCUCUUAAAUCACAUACCUCAAGGCUUAUCAUUUAGCAGGAUCUACUAAAUAUUUACUGGAUCCUUUCACUGGUGGUGGGGCAGACAUCUAGAACAAUGGCAGUAGCCUGUGUGCUCUUGGUAAGAGUGAGAAUCUAGACUGGUCCUCUUUCAUUAUGCUUUAGGAUACAUUUCACUAGACUCUUCAUAACACAGACAACAGAGUACCUCAAGAUGAAUAGACUGCCUUUAGAGCUGCUACCAUAGUUACUUUAUGUUUUAUCUUACAAAGACCUUUCAUAUAGAAGAAAGCCAAUAAGUAUUUGUGGAAUGAAUUAAUUAAAAACUAACAAGCCUGAAUCCUCAAUUAACAAUGUGCUGUUAUUGUAUUUUCCUACACUCCACUGAGG